AAAACUAGAUAAAAUAAAUCAGUUCCUUCCCUGAUGAUUGCUGUAACAGAAAACCAAGUGGAAAAUGACAGAUGAAGGCCUUUGCAUUUCCACAUUGCUCGUGACCAAAGAAUGCAGCUUGUAUUGCCAAUCAAGAAUUCUUACACUGUCCUGAAUGAUAAGUGUGUGUGUUGGAUAGAAUCAUUUUGAGCACAGGCUACGUUUGCUUAGGUCACUAAAAUGCUCCAGAAAUGGAUCAGCCCAACAAGAGAUAAUUAGACCUAAUGGAUGCUGGCGAAUACUCAAUAGCUUUCCAAUCCAUUGUAUUUGGUAGCAAUUUUGCAGGCAAUUAUGUGUAUCAAGGUUGGAAAUGCCAAGAAAUCCAAGAAUUCUUUUGGUGUUGGAGCAGAAGGAACAAAGAACAAUUAAAAGGCAUGAAUAUAUUUUCAAAUAGAUGCAGGAAGAAUGUGUUGAAUGCUAAGAGGCAAUUAUUACAAUGGAUGAUGACUCCCUUUCCCAUUGGCAGCACCCUUCUCUGAGGUCUGAUGCUCCUCCACUCUCUCUGUUGUUAGUUGUAUACCUCUAUGU